rnacentral:rRNA from 1 species
AGGACGAACGCUGGCGGCGUGCUUAACACAUGCAAGUCGAACGGUAAGGCCCCUUCGGGGGUACACGAGUGGCGAACGGGUGAGUAACACGUGAGCAACCUGCCCUUGACUCUGGAAUAACAGCUGGAAACAGCUGCUAAUACCGGAUACGACCUCGAUCGACAUCAGUCGAGGUGGAAAGCUCCGGCGGUCAAGGAUGGGCUCGCGGCCUAUCAGCUUGUUGGUGAGGUAACGGCUCACCAAGGCUUCGAC